GAUGAACGCUAGCGGCAGGCUUAACACAUGCAAGUCGAGGGGUAUAAGUCUUCGGAUUUAGAGACCGGCGCACGGGUGCGUAACGCGUAUGCAAUCUACCUUUUACAGAGGGAUAGCCCAGAGAAAUUUGGAUUAAUACCUCAUAGCAUAGCAAUCUCGCAUGAGAUCACUAUUAAAGUCACAACGGUAAAAGAUGAGCA
rnacentral:rRNA from 1 species